rnacentral:rRNA from 1 species
GAUGAACGCUAGCGGCAGGCCUAAUACAUGCAAGUCGAACGGGAUCCAGAUCAAAGCUUGCUUUGGUCUGGUGAGAGUGGCGCACGGGUGCGUAACGCGUGAGCAACCUACCCUUGUCAGGGGGAUAGCCCGGCGAAAGUCGGAUUAAUACCGCAUGACAUCAUUGAGAGGCAUCUUUCGAUGAUCAAAGAUUUAUCGGACAAGGAUGGGCUCGCGUGACAUUAGCUAGUUGGUAAGGUAACGGCUUACCAAGGCUGCGAUGUCUAGGGGCUCUGAGAGGAGAAUCCCCCACACUGGUACUGAGACACGGACCAGACUCCUACGGGAGGCAGCAGUAAGGAAUAUUGGUCAAUGGACGGAAGUCUGAACCAGCCAUGCCGCGUGCAGGAAGACGGCCCUAUGGGUUGUAAACUGCUUUUAUACGGGAACAAACGUCGGUACGUGUACCGGUCUGAGUGUACCGUAAGAAUAAGGAUCGGCUAACUCCGU